GCAGCAGGCCGGCCUGUCGCUCAUCCGGUGUGAAUGAGAGGAAAGUCCGGGCAACACAGGGCGCCAUUCUUCCUAACGGGAAGCUAUCCGCGAGGGUAGAGCAACGUAACAGAAAAUAACCGCCGUGCGCAGGCACGGUAAGGGUGAAAAGGUGAGGUAAGAGCUUACCGCUCCUGCCGUAAUGCAGGGGGACGGUACGUCUAAUGGGUUGUAAGGUCAUGUAUACCGACGCAGUAGGGCGGCUCGCCCGAUGUCGGGGGGUAGACUGCACGGAAUUUGCCGGCGACGGCAAAUCAAGAUAAAUGACAGGCGCAUCCGCGUAAUAAAUAACAGGAUGUACAGAACCCGGCUUACAGGCCUGCUGCUUUU
rnacentral:RNase_P_RNA from 1 species